rnacentral:lncRNA from 1 species
AUGAGAGAAAAAGACCCCGUGAAAGGAAUGACAGCUGCAGAUGACUAAUGUGGCUUCCUCCUUGUGCACUUUUGCAAGACAGUCAGCAGGAAGGCCCAGAGACCCCACCCUCUUGACCAAUGGACCAUCUCUGGAUCACACCUUUCUAUAUCCAAUCGGCAGGCGAUUUUAAAUCUCCCAUAGCUAAUUCUAGAUGCCCUUUAAUAUUGGGGAUCGUUGUGCUGUCACAUUCUCUUCAGAUCCAAACUGGGUCCCCUGGUUGGAUUUUAAACACUGCAGUUCUGAUCGGAAGCAGGUGCCUUGGUGGAGAGGCCCAUGGGCUGGGAUGUUUUAGCUGGAGUUUACCUGAUGAAGGCCACAGUGACACUCUGUACUCCCAGCACACUUGCACCUUUCUGGGUUUAUCCUCCUACAGCCCCUGCUGGGACUCCCUGACAAGUUUUGAUUGGUUCAUAGUGCUAUUCCUUUUACAACAUACACUUUGUAGAAUUAAUUAGAUUAUCUUGUUGUUUCUUUAAUGUGAGUUUGUGCCUUUUGUCUCCUAAUCUUCCAAUACAGGCAUAUUGGAAACAAAUCUAAUAAAAUCUUAGACCGAGCUUUUUGGAGUCUGUUU